GCUGGGCAUGGUAACACGUGCCUGUAAUCCCAGCUACUCAGGAGACUGAGAUAGGAGAAUCGUUUGAACCUGGGAGGCAGAGAUUGCAAUGAGCCGAGAUCAUGCCACCGCUCCAUCUCAAAAAAAAACCAAACCAAAACAAAAAAAAAAAAACCCGAGCGUGAUGGCUCACGCCUGUAAUCCCAGCACUUUGGGGGCCCAAAGUUGGACGAUUUUUUUUUUUUUAAUUUUCAUUUAUUUAUUUAUUUUUUGAGAUGGAGCGGUGGCAUGAUCUAGGCUCAUUGCAAUCUCUGCCUCCCAGGUUCAAACGAUUCUCCUAUCUCAGU
rnacentral:SRP_RNA from 1 species